UACAGAGGGUGCAAGCGUUAAUCGGAAUGACUGGGCGUAAAGGGCGCGUAGGUGGUUGUAUAAGUUGGUUGUGAAAUCCCCGGGCUUAACCUGGGAACUGCAGCCAAUACUGUGCGACUAGAGUAGAGCAGAGGGAAGUAGAAUUUCCGGUGUAGCGGUGAAAUGCGUAGAUAUCAGAAGGAAUACCAGUGGCGAAGGCGGCUUUCUGGACUCAUACUGACACUGAGGCGCGAAAGCGUGGGGAGCAAACAGG
rnacentral:rRNA from 1 species